CCCUUAGACGUUCUGGGCCGCACGCGCGCUACACUGACCAGUGCAACAAGCAUCCGUCCUUGGCCGACAGGCCCGGGCAAUCUUUGAACGCUGGUCGUGAUGGGGAUAGACCUUUGCAAUUAUGGGUCUUCAACGAGGAAUUCCUAGUAAACGCAAGUCAUCAGCUUGCAUUGAUUACGUCCCUGCCCUUUGUACACACCGCCCGUCGCACCUACCGAUUGAAUGGUCCGGUGAAAUCUCGGGACGGCGGCUUGGUCGCUUGCGUCCGACUGCUGAAACUUGAUUAAACCAUAUCAUUUAGAGGAAGGUGAANUCGUANCA
rnacentral:rRNA from 1 species